GCAGUGCAGUGGCGGCGAAACCGAUUCAUCCGACUCCCGGCACCGCCGCCGACCGCGGACCGUCGAGCAGUUACGUGCGGGACCGGUUGCCGUGUCGGUCCGUCGUCGUGCCGUUCUUGCGCUCGCGCGUGCGAUAUAUAUAUAGUUCCGUCCGGUAUUUUUCAGCGUUAUCGUUUGCCUACCGCCCCGUGAUACUGUUUUUCGUGUUUCCCGUACGAUUCGCGCGAAUCCUGUUUCAUCCGCGAAGCUGUGCCGCGAGGGAUUGUCAGAACAAGUUGUUCCUCUAUGUGGUUUACUGGCCGAUAACGACGAAGUUGACGAAAAAGGAAAUCAACGGACCAUGGGACCGACCGUGGUGGCAGUGGCGGCAGCCGACUCGUCGGAAGGCGGCAGCAGCGGUGGCGGCGGCGCGAAAAAAAAAGGCAUAAGGCGGUUGUUGACGCCCGCCAUAUUCAGUAGCAACAAUAAGGCGGCGGACGUCAGUGGAGGAGCCGUUUUGCCGCCGGGGUCCGCGCAUCAAGUGGUCCACCGUCAGAGCAAGACUCUAAUCGAGACGGCGUUCGUCAGCAGCAACAACAACAACAACAACAAUAGUAACGGUCUCGACAACAACAGCAGCUCUGCCGGAAACGCGACGUACGGGUUGCAACAACAGCAGCAACAGCAGCAGCGCGUUCAGUACCUGCAAGGGACGAACCGACGCGCGAACCCGGCAAAUGAUUUCCGGUCUCGGAGUGUCAGUCCCGGAUCUUUCGACCGCGACGCGAACGCCAACUAUGGCGUCGGCCGCCGAGCGGACAGCGCUUGUUCACUAGUCUCGUCGUCGUCGUCCACAUGCGUGGCCGCCAUCCCGGAAUACUCGGGUGGUAGUCCUUCGUCGUCGGGCCGCCGGUCAGCUCCCAUAGUCCCGUACUCGCAGUACUACAACAACCGCAACGGCGGUUCGGUGCCGGCACAGCAACAGCAACGGCAAACGCGGCCGCAGCAGCAAAGGUUGUUGCUCAUGCCCGUCGGCGCCCAGGUCAAGAUCACCGGACCGUCAGCGCCGUCGGCCGCUGCGUACGCGUCCGCUCUCCGUCAGCAACAGCAACAGCAGGUCGUCAUCUACGGCAACGUGCCGGCGACCGCGGCCGAGAGGAGCCCGUUCGUCCGCGGAUUACCGCAUCGGGCCACCAUCGGGUGCGUUCGGGAAUCACCCAGCAGGCAGUCGACCAUCUACGAGACGGACGAAGACGCGGCCCCGGCUGACGGUGGUGGCCAGAAGAGGUUCCAGCCGAUUUUCAAACGAGGCGCCCUGCAAGCGCCCGCCGAAGAGCCGGCGGCCGUCGCGUUGGCUAGCCCGAAGAGGGUAAGCUUCUCGCCGCAGCCGUGUGCUGCAGCUCCGAGGUCACUGCAAUCCGCCGAACCGGCCGCGUACUGGCCCACCAAGAAGGGCCCGUCCCCGCAGCCGCCCACCAGGCGACGAACCGCUGACUCGCCGGUGGCUGCGGUUGCUGACCGGCCGCUGCCGCCCGUGCCCAAGAGGAGCCCGUCCACCUCGGCCAUUUACGGCACACUGCGCGGCUUCAAUGAAGGCCAGUCAAAACAACCACAGAUGAUUCAGAACCGAUGGUGUCCACCGUCUCCGCAGCAUCACUAUCAUCAAUCCGGGUCCGAGUCCGGCAGCGAGGCCGGAGAGGUACAGCGCAUACUGAACGUCAAAAACGGUCAUCUGGUCAUCGACGAUGAUUGGAGUGGUGACGGGAAAACCAGAGGGACCGUCGAACAAGCUGGUGAUGAAAUCCGUCGUGGCAGAUCUUCGAGGAGAGACGAUCCACGUCGGCACACAUUAUCUGGCGAUCAACAUCAUAACUAUCAACCAGCUCUGACAAGGUCUAUGGAUUUGGAGAUGGGAACAAAAACGCAACGGAAAAAAUCUCCUUCGUCUAGAGGAGGAUAUCCACCAGCUACUGGCAUGCUAUUUGAUGACGACCCAGGAAUAAUGUCUGAAGUGGAAACUAGUUCUACUGGGUUUCGAAGAGGGAACAAACAAAGGAGCUCAUUACCAGUUGUCCGAACCCCGUCAAAAACUUUAGAACGCCCAUUAGGUGACCCGAUGUUGAAUGAUGAAAUGGCUUUCCAUAAUAUGAUGACUCACUCACGGCAAAGUUUAGGUCUGGUAUUUCUGCAAUACCGUAGCGAAACAAAAAGAGCAUUGUUACCAAAUGAAAUUACUUCUAUUGACACGGUCAAGGCGCUGUUCGUUCGGUCUUUUCCUAAACAGCUCACUAUGGAAUACAUGGACUCAUCACUGGUGAAAAUCUAUAUUCACGAUUCAUCGAAAGAUAUGUUCUACGAACUAGAAGACCUCAGGUCACAUCUCAACGAUAUCCGGGAUAGAUCAGUGUUGCGACUUUUCGAAUCAGCCGAGGGCGGUCCUCUUCCCCAAGGUCUCACAAUAGCCGCACCCACGUGGGAUCAAGAUCAAUCGUACUUCAGCGAACCAGAAUUUGAUUCCGAGUACCAACAUCAGCAUAUACACAAAACCAAGGGAAGUAAAUGUACUAGCGGCGGCGCGCCAGGGCAACCGUAUUACAUGACCCAUCAGUUCCCGCCAGGAUCGUCGGCUACACUACCCAACAGAGGCCGGCCGCCCACCGGGUCCAUACCGGCCAGAACGUAUUCACCUGCCAUACCGCCUGUGGCUGCUAACAAAUCGUCAGGGUACAUGUCAUCACCAGAGAGGGCUGGCUCUCGAUCAGGAUACACAGCACCUCCAUAUAUGUCGCCUGGAGGUUCAUCAUUCGAUGAAAACUCCUAUUAUGGCUAUGGCCCCAGGACGGGGUCUAUCACACCCGUUAUCGACGAAGAAACCAGCGACAACGAGCUAAUGGAAGACCCGUUUAGUAUGUACACCGUGAAACCAUCGAUAUCCAAAAGAUCGACGUACGGCAACCCGCCGACCGUCCCUUAUGACGCUACCAGGAUACGUGUGGAAAACAUGGAAAGACAGAUCGCCAACCUAACGGGAUUGGUUCAGAAAGCCCUGACACACGCGCCGGUUGUUACAGCACCUUUCAGAAGUGCUAGUGAUGAGUUCGAUAAAGUCUCCAGCGGCAGUACCACAUCUCUGGCAGAGGAACCAUACAAGCGGUCUGACACUAAACCUCCUAAACUUGGACGAGACAAAUCAGUUUCAUUUGAGAAGUCCGUAUCGUUCAGCGACGAGCCACCUGACAUGAACUCGCCGAAACAACAUUCACCUCAGAGUUCAGCGGACACGAAACCUGCGAAACCGGCAAUUAAAUCGUCUACAUUGCCUAGAACAGCGUCUCAAGAAAAAGACAGAUUUAAGCCUCAUCCUCCACCUAAGCCAUCUGCCAUACCCGGCCAAUACGACGACAGGCAUUUGUACAGCGAUUUACAGCUCACACCAGAAAUGUAUAACCAGCUAAGAGUAUUACAGAAAAAAGCAAAAGAUUUGAGACAAGAAGCACGGAGCUUAAGACGAAUGUCUCAAGCACAAGCCCACUCCAUUCGUGAAACUAUUAAAGACACGUUCAUAAAAAUUAGAGCGUUGAUCGCUUCCGGCGCCGACCAGGCGUGGAGCGAAUCCGGAUCGAAAGAGAGGGCACGCGUGGACAGGGAAGAGGAUAUAUACAAACAGGAGAUUAUCAGGCUGGAAACCGACUUGACGGAACUCGAGAGCACGGUGGAAGAAUUGAGGGGAAACGUCAUUAACAAGAAGUCCCGAGUAAACAUGUCAGACGUGGAAAACAUGGCGCUUGUCCUCAGCAAAUCCAGUAAAACUGUUGCGGAAUUGAAACUGAAGUUUCCGAGUCUACAGGAAUCUAUCCGAAACGUAUUGACCAAGGAAAUGGACCGAGCCGUUACUGAGGAAAAGUUUCUCAAGGAUGAGCCCGAUCGACUCGAGAGCGCACUCAAACGAUGUAAAAAAUUAACCGGAACGCUUGUAACACUCAAGAGACUAGCAUCCGUACAAGAACAGCGUUUGCCCGAUCCCAGACUAUCACCGACUAAUGAAAACACUCCGCCAAUUACACCUACAUCGUCCGCCAAGUGUGUGAAUAACGCCUGCACGGAUAAUGUAGAUUGUGAACAAGUAUUGUAAUAUAUUUUUUCCGUGGACGUCCAUUGCAAAUUACUCGUCAUGUUUCAAUUCGGAUAGAUUUUGGGGAGUGUCGUUGGACAGGGGAGUGUCGUGGACCAGGCCGGAACCGGAUCAGACGGCGGUGCUGGAAAGCGCGAGCCAACAGGUACGGA
rnacentral:misc_RNA from 1 species